UACGUAGGGUGCAAGCGUUUGUCCGGAAUUAUUGGGCGUAAAGAGCUCGUAGGCGGUCUGUCGCGUCGGCUGUGAAAUCCCGGAGCUCAACUCCGGGUCUGCAGUCGAUACGGGCAAACUGGAGUACUGCAGGGGAGACUGGAAUUCCUGGUGUAGCGGUGAAAUGCGCAGAUAUCAGGAGGAACACCGAUGGCGAAGGCAGGUCUCUGGGCAUUAACUGACGCUGAGGAGCGAAAGCAUGGGGAGCGAACAGG
rnacentral:rRNA from 1 species